UUGGUUGGUGGAUGGAUGGAUGGAUGAGGUGUUUGAUUGGUUGGUGGAUGGAUGGAUGAGGUGUUUGAUUGGUUGGUGGAUGGAUGGAUGGAUGAGGUGUUUGAUUGGUUGGUGGAUGGAUGGAUGAGGUGUUUGAUUGGUUGGUGGAUGGAUGGAAGAGGUGUUUGAUUGGUUGGUGGAUGGAUGGAUGAGGUGUUUGAUUGGUUGGUGGAUGGAUGGAUGGAUGAGGUGUUUGAUUGGUUGGUGGAUGGAUGGAUGAGGUGUUUGAUUGGUUGGUGGAUGGAUGGAUGAGGUGUUUGAUUGGUUGGUGGAUGGAUGGAUGGAUGAGGUGUUUG